CGACCGCCGUGGAGGAUGAAGUCCCUUUGGGAUGUAAAACCUCCUUUCGAAGUCGGGACGAUAAUGACGGUACCGGAAGAAGAAGCACCGGCUAACUCUGUGC
rnacentral:rRNA from 1 species